rnacentral:rRNA from 1 species
UUCUGGUUGAUCCUGCCGGACCUGACUGCUAUCGGAUUGAUACUAAGCCAUGCGAGUCAUUGUAGCAAUACAAGGCAUACGGCUCAGUAACGCGUAGUCAACCUAACCUAUGGACGGGAAUAACCUCGGGAAACUGAGAAUAAUGCCCGAUAGAACAUUAUGCCUGGAAUGGUUUAUGUUCCAAAUGAUUUAUCGCCGUAGGAUGGGACUGCGGCCUAUCAGUUUGUUGGUGAGGUAAUGGCCCACCAAGACUAUUACAGGUACGGGCUCUGAGAGGAGUAGCCCGGAGAUGGGUACUGAGACACGGACCCAGGCCCUAUGGGGCGCAGCAGGCGAGAAAACUUUGCAAUGUGCGAAAGCACGACAAGGUUAAUCCGAGUGGUUUCUGCUAAAGGAACCUUUUGUCAGUCCUAGAAACACUGAUGAAUAAGGGGUGGGCAAGUUCUGGUGUCAGCCG